GCUGAACUCUUUGUAAUGAUACCAGAAGAGGCAGAUUAUGUUGGGAUCGAACGCAACAACAAGGGAUUUCGACCACUGAGCUGUGAGUACAAGAUGGAAAAUGUAACCAGGAUGGUAGUGUGCGACCUUGGGAACCCUAUGGUGUCUGGAACAAAUGUAAGAGAGAACCAGAAAUACUGACUGAUUUCCUUCUAAGUGGACUUUACAGGGAACAAAUGGAAAGCUCUCCAGUUACCACUCAGCAACUCAGCACCUAACAGCAACAACAAAUUAGGCAGGAAAUUACCAGAGUAGUGGGAUUUCACAUUAUAACCUACACAGAGUGAAUUGUCCCAGGCUAAAAACACAGAAAGAUGCAUGCUCUUCUGUGCUUUCUCUUUAUACAUUACUCUUGCCUGUCUUUUAGUUACAACAAUUUUAUACACUUUGUUUUUCUAUAGAUAUUUUCUUUAAAUACUUUUUCUUUGAAUUCAAAAAGAAAUGCAAUUUAAGUUAAAGACUCUAAAAAUAACCAAAUUAGGACAAAGAUUUUAGCAAUGGCAAUUAAAGGAAGGACAUGAUAUUCAACAGUGACCAUAGAAUUCCCUUUUCAAGGGAGAUUCAGGUUCGUAUUUGCAUUUUAAAGAUGCUGAUAAGUCUUUCAGUUAAUAAACCUUUUAGCCUGAUGUUUCAUACUAUUGCUUGAGCAUUUGAAACUUUUCUCAAGUUAGAAUAUUAUGCUAGAAUGAUAUUUUUGCUCUUUUAUGCUAUAACGUUGCAUUGAUCUUGGGUAUUCAAAAAUGUGCUGAAACUAUAGUAAGCUCACUUCUUGGGACAAAAAUAAAUAAAUAUUUCAAUGGCAAGUACA
rnacentral:sRNA from 1 species